GGAAAUAAUAAUAAUAAUUAAAGAACAGGCAGAGUCAAAAGUUUUUGGGUACAUUACAAGUUAGUCUCUAAGGUCUGUCAAACACCACAACUUAGUCCCUCUAUUUUCAAUUUGAAAUAAUUUAGUCCCUCAUUUUUGCUCUGUCAACAAAUCAGUCCCUCCGUCCAGAUUUGGCCAAUUUACCAUUAAUUAUAGCAAAAAUGAGCAAAAUACCAUUAACUCUAUUUUCAAUUUGAAACAAGUCCCUGCAGUUGUGUUUUAUUAACA
rnacentral:misc_RNA from 1 species